CCUACGGGAGGCUGCAGUGGGGAAUAUUGGGCAAUGGGCGCAAGCCUGACCCAGCAACGCCGCGUGAAGGAAGAAGGCUUUCGGGUUGUAAACUUCUUUUUAGAGGGAAGAGCAGAAGACGGUACCUCUUGAAUAAGCCACGGCUAACUACGUACCAGCAGCCGCGGUAAUACGUGGGUGGCAAGCGUUGUCCGGUUUUACUGGGUGAAAGGGACGUGCAGCCGGGAAGACAAGUCAGAUGUGAAAUCCGGCGGCUAAACCGCGGAACUGAAUUUAAAACUGUUUUUCUUGAUUACCGUAGAGUACAUCGGAAUUCCUGGUGUAGCGGUGAAAUGCGUAGAUAUAAGGAAGAACACCAGUGGCGAAGGCGGAUGACAGGACGGCAACUGACGGUGAGGCGCGAAGGCGUGGGGAGCAAACAGGAUUAGAUACCCGAGUAGU
rnacentral:rRNA from 1 species